GUCGAGAAUCUUCGGCAAUGGGCGCAAGCCUGACCGAGCGACGCCGCGUGGAGGACGAAGGCCUUCGGGUUGUAAACUCCUGUCGAGGGGGAGGAAGGUUCGCAAGAGCUUGACCGAUCCCUGGAGGAAGCACGGGCUAAGUUCGUGCCAGCAGCCGCGGUAAGACGAACCGUGCGAACGUUAUUCGGAAUCACUGGGCUUAAAGCGCGUGUAGGCGGGACGGCACGUCGGCCGCUGAAAUCCCCCGGCUUAACCGGGGAAGUGGCGCCGAUACGACCGUCCUGGAGGGACGUAGGGGGGCCUGGAACUUCCGGUGGAGCGGUGAAAUGCGUUGAGAUCGGAAGGAACGCCCGUGGCGAAAGCGAGGCCCUGGACGUCUGCUGACGCUGAGACGCGAAAGCCAGGGGAGCGAACGGG
rnacentral:rRNA from 1 species